UACGAAGGGGGCUAGCGUUGCUCGGAAUCACUGGGCGUAAAGCGCACGUAGGCGGAUUGCUAAGUCAGGGGUGAAAUCCUGGAGCUCAACUCCAGAACUGCCUUUGAUACUGGCGAUCUUGAGUCCGGGAGAGGUGAGUGGAACUGCGAGUGUAGAGGUGAAAUUCGUAGAUAUUCGGAAGAACACCAGUGGCGAAGGCGACUCGCUGGACAGACAUUGACGCUGAGGUGCGAAAGCGUGGGGAGCAAACGGG
rnacentral:rRNA from 1 species